UACAGAGGGUGCGAGCGUUUGUCCGGAAUCACUGGGCGUAAAGGGCGCGUAGGUGGUGGCUUAAGCGUGCGGUGAAAGCUCGGAGCUCAACUCCGAGUCGGCCGUGCGAACUGGGCUCACUGGAGCAUAGUAGAGGCAGGUGGAAUUCCGGGUGUAGCGGUGGAAUGCGUAGAGAUCCGGAAGAACACCGGUGGCGAAGGCGGCCUGCUGGGCCGUACCUGACACUGAUGCGCGACAGCAUGGGGGAGCAAACAGG
rnacentral:rRNA from 1 species